GACGAACGCUGGCGGCGUGCCUAAUACAUGCAAGUCGAAUGAAGCUGUUUUAACUGGUGCUUGCACCGACUUAAACAACUGAGUGGCGAACGGGUGAGUAACACGUGGGUAACCUGCCCCAAAGCGGGGGAUAACAUUUGGAAACAGAUGCUAAUACCGCAUAACCACAGAAACCACAUGGUUUCUGUGUCAAAGAUGGUUUCGGCUAUCACUUUGGGAUGGACCCGCGGCGUAUUAGGUAGUUGGUAAGGUAAUGGCUUACCAAGGCAAUGAUACGUAGCCGAACUGAGAGGUUGAUCGGCCACAUUGGGACUGAGAAACGGCCCAAACACCCACGGGUGGCAGCAGUAGGGAAUUUUUCGCACUGGACGGAAGUCUGACGGAGCAAUGCCGCGUGGAGGAAGAAGAUUUUCGGAUUGUAAACUCCUGUUGUGAGGGAAGAAAGACGAUAGUAGGGAAUGGCUAUCGAGUGACGGUACCUUACCAGAAAGGGACGGCUAACUACGUGCCAGCAGCCGCCGUAA
rnacentral:rRNA from 1 species